rnacentral:rRNA from 1 species
ACGGGCGUACCUGCAGAAUAAGCACCGGCUAAAUUACGUGCCAGCAGCCGCGGUAAUACGUAGGGUGCAAGCGUUAAUCGGAAUUACUGGGCGUAAAGCGUGCGCAGGCGGUUCGGAAAGAAAGAUGUGAAAUCCCAGAGCUUAACUUUGGAACUGCAUUUUUAACUACCGAGCUAGAGUGUGUCAGAGGGAGGUGGAAUUCCGCGUGUAGCAGUGAAAUGCGUAGAUAUGCGGAGGAACACCGAUGGCGAAGGCAGCCUCCUGGGAUAACACUGACGUUCAUGCACGAAAGCGUGGGGAGCAAACAGGAUUAGAUACCCUGGUAGUCCACGCCCUAAACGAUGUCAACUAGCUGUUGGGGCCUUCGGGCCUUGGUAGCGCAGCUAACGCGUGAAGUUGACCGCCUGGGGAGUACGGUCGCAAGAUUAAAACUCAAAGGAAUUGACGGGGACCCGCACAAGCGGUGGAUGAUGUGGAUUAAUUCGAUGCAACGCGAAAAACCUUACCUACCCUUGACAUGUCUGGAAUCCUGAAGAGAUUUAGGAGUGCUCGCAAGAGAACCGGAACACAGGUGCUGCAUGGCCGUCGUCAGCUCGUGUCGUGAGAUGUUGGGUUAAGUCCCGCAACGAGCGCAACCCUUGUCAUUAGUUGCUACGAAAGGGCACUCUAAUGAGACUGCCGGUGACAAACCGGAGGAAGGUGGGGAUGACGUCAAGUCCUCAUGGCCCUUAUGGGUAGGGCUUCACACGUCAUACAAUGGUCGGGACAGAGGGUCGCCAACCCGCGAGGGGGAGCCAAUCCCAGAAACCCGAUCGUAGUCCGGAUCGCAGUCUGCAACUCGACUGCGUGAAGUCGGAAUCGCUAGUAAUCGCGGAUCAGCAUGUCGCGGUGAAUACGUUCCCGGGUCUUGUACACACCGCCCGUCACACCAUGGGAGUGGGUUUUACCAGAAGUAGUUAGCCUAACCGCAAGGGGGGCGC